CCCGCUGAACUUAAGCAUAUCAAUAAGCGGAGGAAAAGAAACCAACAGGGAUUGCCUCAGUAACUGCGAGUGAAGCGGCAACAGCUCAAAUUUGAAAUCUGGCCUCAUGGCCCGAAUUGUAAUUUGUAGAGGAUGCUUCAGAGCAUGCAUCACGAGUCUACGUUCCCUGGAACAGGAUGUCAUAGAGGGAGAGAAUCCCGUAUGUGACUCGGUGCCUAAGCUUAUGUGAAGCUCCGUCAACGAGUCGAGUUGAUUGGGAAUGCAGCUCAAAAUGGGUGGUAAAUUUCAUCUACAGCCAAAUACUGGCCAGAGACGAGAUAGAGCACAAGUAAAAUAAACUAAAGCAGAAAAGCACUUUGCAAAAAGAGAUACACAGUACGUCAAAUUGUUCAAACAGAAGUCAUCGCAAUCACACCUGCAUGCACUUGAUCAUCCGAUGUUCCCACCUCAACACUGGACAGCAUACAAACCAGCAUUGAAUGUGGCGCCUGGAUAAAGGCCAUAGGAAUGUAUCUUCUUCAGGGGAGUGUAAUAACCCUCGCUGCAAUCUAGCAUACCCGGACCUAGGCCCCCGCCUCGCCUAGGAUGCUGGCGUAAUGGCUGUAAGCGACCCGUCUUGAAACACGG
rnacentral:rRNA from 1 species